rnacentral:lncRNA from 1 species
UGAGCCUAAUCAAUAGAAGGAGAUGGAUAAGAAAUGAACAAGAAAGCCUCCUUAAGGGUAAGCAUACCUGUAACAGUGCCAUUCUAAAUCCUAAGGUCCUUAUUACAAAUAUGGAAAUCAGGAACUAAAGGGAGCAUAAUAGCCAAGAAAGGGAACCAAUCAUACCAACAAAGCGGAAAUGACCAUUGCCUAUUAGAGAUUAGAUCAACAACCAUAACAUUGGAAUUUAU